UUGAUACAUGUUUUCACUAGAAUGUUAUAUGAAGUUAAGUGAUGGCACCUGAAGCUAGGAGAACCUGGGAUGUUUUACGAAGUGAGAUCUUUGUGUUUGGUUUCAAAGAUAGAGUUGAAACCAGCCUCCAUAGGAAUUCUGUUUUAUUCUGCCACUGCAGUGCUAUCAGUCCUACCUAGUUCAAAGCAUAUUUAGCCGGCUGCAAUAGCCUCCUGUCACUAGAAUUCUACCUCCACAAUUUGGUUGAAGUAAUUUUUAAGAUGCAGUAAGAUUGUGUCAGUCUAUUGAAAACAUCAGUGUGUUCUCAUCACAGUAAAACACAAUUCAAACUCCUUUUCAUGAUAUGGCCCCAUGUGAUCUGGUUCCUGCUACCUCUUCAAUCUCUUGGCCUUUCACAGUGGUCUUCCUGCUGUUUGUGAAUAUGCCAGCUUUGUUCUGGUCUUUGUCUUUGCAUUGGCUGUUUUGUCAGACUCAGGCUCUUCCCAUGGCUCCAUGUCAUUCAAGUGUCAGCCCAGUCUUUGCAGAGGAGCCUUCCUUGACCAUCCUCUUCAAAAUAGCACCCAUCCCCCAUCUAUCCCAUUACCUGUUACACUUCGUUUUAUUUAUGACACACCUCACUAAUUUGAUUUGUAUGUCUCUACCUGGCAUUCAUCUCCGCCUCACCCCCCACCUUCACCGCCAUUGAAUAUGUGGUCAGCCAACAGGAGUCCUGUUUACCCUAUUCACUACUGUGUCCCUAGUGUACAUCACAUAGUAAGUGUUCUUUACAAAAGAAUAAAGAAAAACUUACUCAUUUAAUCUCAUGCAUACCAUGUCAGAGCAUAUGUCACCAUAACUUUCCUUUGGAUGAAUCCCAAAUUGUAUUCUUCCCACCUACCUCCUCCAAGAUUCCACCUUCAUCUUUAUACCCUUUCUGAAUUGCCCUUUGUAAUAUUGGAACUAUCUUAACUCUAAAUAUAUAAAUAUAAUAUAUGCAAGUCUUAUUUAAGAAUGCGUUGAAGUUUAGAAAAGUAAGGUGCCCAAAGUAACACAGCUAUAAGUGGUAUUUCUAGGAUUUAAACUUAGAUCUCUCUCUAACUAAAGCUCCUCUGCUAUGCUGGUGUGGAGGCUGAUGUUCUUGGUAAGUGGGAGGUAUAAAUCCAGAAUUAGAAUAGGAGCCCUGUCCAUUGGAAUAGAAAUAGCAAACAUUCAUUGUUUGUUUCUAUAAGAAGAACUGGGUGAUAUUUGCUAACAGAACCUUUAAAAAGUAACCUGAAUUUUUUUUGGACUAAAGUUAAUGUAUGCUUGUUAUAAAAUACAUGGAAUAUAUGAAAAAAUGUAAAGAAGUAAAGACCAUCCAUAGUUCUUCCACUGAGAGAUAACCACUAUUAACAUUUUAGAAUAUUUUAAUCAAGUAUUUUUUAUGUAAAAAUAUUGUGAUGAUUUUUGUGCAUAAAUCUUGAAUUUUGAAAUCAUUUCCUAAUGUAAUUACUAGAUCAAAGCAUACUGUCAAAUUUGUUUCCAGAAAGAUGAUGCCAAUUUAUAUUUCCAAUAUAUUUAGUUUCCAUUUCUGGAAUUUUUUAAAUAUUAAACUUGUAAUAUAUGUUUGUUAUUAAUUACCUGCUCUAUCUAUAGGCAUACCUCAGAUAUUGUGGGUUCAGACUAUCACAGUAAAGCUAAUAUCACAAUAAAGCAAGUCACGUGAAUCUUUUGGUUUCCCCAUGCAUAUAAAAGUUAUGUUUGCGCUGUACUGUAGUCUAUUAAGUGUACAGUAGCAUUAUGUCUAAUAAAAACAAUGUACACACUUUAAUUUAAAAAUACUUUAUUGCUGAAAAAGGCUAACAGUCUUCUGAGCCUUCAUCAAGUUGUAAUCUUUCUGCUGGUCGAGGGUCUUGCCUCAGUUGAUGGCUGCUGACUGAUCAGGGUGGGGGUUGCUGAAGGUUGGGUGGCUGUGGCAAUUUCUUAAAAUAGGAUAACAAUGACAUUUGCUGCAUUGAUGGACUUUCCCUUUCAUGAAAGAUUUUUCUGUGGCAUGUGAUAGUGUUUAAUAGCAUUUUUAUCCACAGGCAGAACUUCCAAAAUUGAAGUCAGUCCUCUCAAACCCUGCUUUAUCAACCAAGUUUAUGUAACAUCCUGAAUUCUUUGUUGUCAUUUCAGCAGUGUUCACAGCAUCUUCACCAGGAGUAAAUUUCAACUCCGGAAACCACUUUCUUUGCUCAUCAGUAAGAAGGAAUUCCUGAUUAAAUUUGAGUGUUAUGUGGACAAGUUUCAUGGCGCCCCAGACAAUUACAAUAGUAUCAUUAAAGAUCACUAUCACAGAUCACCAUAACAAAUACAAUAAUUAAAAAGUUUGAAAUAUUGUGACAGUUAUCAAAAUGUGACAUAGAGAUAAGAAGUGAGCAGAUGCAGUUGGGAAAAUGGUGCCAGUAGACUUGCUAGGUGCAGUUGCCACAGACCUUCAUUUUGUAAAAAAAAUGCAGUGUCUGAAAAGCACAAUAAAGCAAGGCAUUCCUGU
rnacentral:lncRNA from 1 species